UCCUACGGGAGGCAGCAGUGGGGAAUUUUGGACAAUGGGCGAAAGCCUGAUCCAGCAAUGCCGCGUGUGUGAAGAAGGCCUUCGGGUUGUAAAGCACUUUUGUCCGGAAAGAAAUCCUUGGCUCUAAUACAGUCGGGGGAUGACGGUACCGGAAGAAUAAGCAUCGGCUAACUACGUGCCAGCAGCCGCGGUAAUACGUAGGGUGCGAGCGUUAAUCGGAAUUACUGGGCGUAAAGCGUGCGCAGGCGGUUUGCUAAGACCGAUGUGAAAUCCCCGGGCUCAACCUGGGAACUGCAUUGGUGACUGGCAGGCUAGAGUAUGGCAGAGGGGGGUAGAAUUCCACGUGUAGCAGUGAAAUGCGUAGAGAUGUGGAGGAAUACCGAUGGCGAAGGCAGCCCCCUGGGCCAAUACUGACGCUCAUGCACGAAAGCGUGGGGAGCAAACAGGAUUAGAUACCCUGGUAGUCCACGCCCUAAACGAUGUCAACUAGUUGUUGGGGAUUCAUUUCCUUAGUAACGUAGCUAACGCGUGAAGUUGACCGCCUGGGGAGUACGGUCGCAAGAUUAAAACUCAAAGGAAUUGACGGGGACCCGCACAAGCGAUGGAUGAUGUGGAUUAAUUCGAUGCAACGCGAAAAACCUUACCUACCCUUGACAUGGUCGGAAUCCCGCUGAGAGGUGGGAGUGCUCGAAAGAGAACCGGCGCACAGGUGCUGCAUGGCUGUCGUCAGCUCGUGUCGUGAGAUGUUGGGUUAAGUCCCGCAACGAGCGCAACCCUUGUCCUUAGUUGCUACGCAAGAGCACUCUAAGGAGACUGCCGGUGACAAACCGGAGGAAGGUGGGGAUGACGUCAAGUCCUCAUGGCCCUUAUGGGUAGGGCUUCACACGUCAUACAAUGGUCGGAACAGAGGGUUGCCAACCCGCGAGGGGGAGCUAAUCCCAGAAAACCGAUCGUAGUCCGGAUUGCACUCUGCAACUCGAGUGCAUGAAGCUGGAUUUACUAGUAAUCGCGGAUCAGCAUGCCGCGGUGAAUAACAAUCCAAGCCUUGUACACACCGC
rnacentral:rRNA from 1 species